rnacentral:rRNA from 1 species
AACGAACGCUGGCGGCAUGCCUAACACAUGCAAGUCGAACGAGACCGUCGUGUCUAUUUGCGCACGGGUGCUUAACGCGUGGUAACCUGCCCGUAGGUUCGCAAUAACUCCCCUUAAGGGGUCCUAAUACCGCUUAAUCUCUUCCGACCAAGGAUUUAUGGCUUUUGGAUGGGCCCUUGUUGGAUUAGCUGGUUGGUAGGGUAAAAGCCUGCCAAGGCGACGUUCCAUAGCUGGUCUGAGAGGAUGAUCAGUCACACUGGGACUGAGGCACGGACCACAAUCGUACGGGAGGGAGGAGUGGGGAGUACUGGAGGCUGGGCGAAAGUCUGAUAAAGCAAUGCCGGGUGAGUGAUGCAGGCGUUAGGGUUGUAAAGCUGUUUUAGACGGGAUGAUAAUGACAGUACCGGGUAAAUAAGCACCGGCUAACUCCGUG